rnacentral:rRNA from 1 species
GUGAGGAAUUUUCCGCAAUGGGCGAAAGCCUGACGGAGCAAUGCCGCGUGAAGGAUGAAGGCCUAUGGGUUGUAAACUUCUUUUCUCAGAAAAGAAUUAUGACGGUAUCUGAGGAAUAAGCAUCGGCUAACUCUGUGCCAGCAGCCGCGGUAAGACAGAGGAUGCAAGCGUUAUCCGGAAUGAUUGGGCGUAAAGCGUCUGUAGGUUGUUUAAAAAGUAUUCUGUAAAAGAUUAGGGCUUAACCCUAGAUAGGCAGAAUAAACUUUUAAGCUAGAGUUUGGUAGAGGCAGAGGGAAUUCCCGGUGGAGCGGUGAAAUGCGUAGAUAUCGGGAGGAACACCAAAGGCGAAGGCACUCUGCUGGGCCAAUACUAACACUGAGAGACGAAAGCGAGGGGAGCAAAUGGGAUUAGAAACCCGUGUAGUCC